UACGAAGGGGGCUAGCGUUGCUCGGAAUCACUGGGCGUAAAGCGCACGUAGGCGGAUUGUUAAGUCAGGGGUGAAAUCCUGGAGCUCAACUCCAGAACUGCCUUUGAUACUGGCGAUCUCGAGUCCGGGAGAGGUGAGUGGAACUGCGAGUGUAGAGGUGAAAUUCGUAGAUAUUCGCAAGAACCCCAGUGGCGAAGGCGGCUCCCUGGCCCGGUACUGACGCUGAGGUGCGAAAGCGUGGGGAGCAAACAGG
rnacentral:rRNA from 1 species